rfam:Dialister succinatiphilus YIT 11850 genomic scaffold supercont1.2, whole genome shotgun sequence.
CUCCGGGCCCCGUGCAAUGAAAUCCCAUGAACCCGGUCAGGUCCGAGAGGAAGCAGCCGUAAGUGGCCCUUUUCAUGUGACACGGUGCAUCCUGGAGGCU